UGGGGAAUAUUGGACAAUGGGCGCAAGCCUGAUCCAGCCAUGCCGCGUGAGUGAAGAAGGCCUUCGGGUUGUAAAGCUCUUUUGUUGGGGAAGAAAAGCAACCGGCCAAUACCCGGUUGUCCUGACGGUACCCAAAGAAUAAGCACCGGCUAACUUCGUGCCAGCAGCCGCGGUAAUACGAAGGGUGCAAGCGUUACUCGGAAUUACUGGGCGUAAAGCGUGCGUAGGUGGUUUGUUAAGUCUGAUGUGAAAGCCCUGGGCUCAACCUGGGAAUUGCAUUGGAUACUGGCAGGCUAGAGUGCGGUAGAGGAUGGCGGAAUUCCCGGUGUAGCAGUGAAAUGCGUAGAGAUCGGGAGGAACAUCCGUGGCGAAGGCGGCCAUCUGGACCAGCACUGACACUGAGGCACGAAAGCGUGGGGAGCAAACA
rnacentral:rRNA from 1 species